CAAAGUUUGGGCAAAGUUCAUUAGAGGGAGCAAAAAUGAUCCUGUGCCUAAAGUUAGUUUCCUUGAUAGCAGUCUUGAGAGGUGUCCAAUCUGACGUUCAGUUGGUAGAAUCUGGGGGGGAUAUGAGAAGACCUGGGGAGUCCCUCCGUCUCUCCUGCCAAGGUUCUGGAUACAGCUUUGGUGGCUACAGAAUGGACUGGUUGAGACAGGCUCCAGGGAAAGGACUGGAAUGGGUGGCAUGGAUACGUAAUACUGGAGGAGAUAUCUUCUACUCUGACAAAGUCAAGGGCCGCUUCACCAUCUCCAGGGACAAUGCCAAAAGCCAGCUCUAUCUGCAAAUGAACAGCCUCAAACAGGAGGAUACAGCUGUCUAUUACUGUGUGAGGGAAGACACAGUGAGAGGAAGUAAAUCUGAUGCUAAGCAAAAACCUUCUCCUCCUCUGGUCCGCUUUCCAAAAUGA